rnacentral:tRNA from 2 species
CAAUUUAAAGCUUAAUUAGUAAAGUUUUUCAUUUACAUUGAAAAGAAAUCCGUGCAAAUCGGUUUAAAUUGA